rnacentral:lncRNA from 1 species
UCGAAACUUGGUUCUAUGAAACUCGUUUCUCAGUUGUCAAGCUGCCACUGCUGCUCCCACCCACAUGGUUUGGUUCCCUUACUCUGGCUGCCAAAGCAAGAACUUCAGGUGACAUGUCCCAGCUUCCACUUUUUCUUCCCUAGCUAGAUCUUCUUGGAUAUAUUCCACCAUGGUCCCCUUCCUCCACUGCGGUCCUCACUUCCGGGGAUAAUUCACUUAAAUUACCAUCCUUUACAUUCAAGCGAUAAUUGUUUGUGACUUGCCCCUCAACAUUAUCUACCAUAGCACCCAUAUCUCCCCACACAGUUUUCCUGCCUAUUUCUAUGUCAUCCACAGCUUUUCCCAUAUUAGGACUCAUGAAACCUCCACCAAUUGGCCGACUUGGUAAUGCAGGCUCUCUUGGCACCUUUGCCCUGAAAUUGUUCUUGGACAAAGGAAUAGCGCAGCAAAAGAUUUCUUUAAAGUUCUCAACCACACCUUUAUUAUAAGGAUUUGCCCUCCUAUCAUAGCGGUAUCUAAAAUUCUAAAAAGUAGUCUGAAAAGCAGAAAAGAAACAUACAGUAAACAUUAAACUUUAAUCAACAUCUUAAAACAGACACGUGAAUUAAAUCACAGGAUGGAUUUUUCUUAAAUUAAGGAAAAUGAGUUUCUUACUUGAUUAGUACUGAUGAGAUAUAAAUGGAAGGCAGUAAGGCCACCGACAAACCACAUUGAUAUGAAAGUGUAACUAUUAGCACAAUGGAGGCAAGGGUUUUGAUCAUUGCUUUCAAAAUUGAUGUGUGCUCAGAAGACAUGAUCCUCCUAAUGUAGACCCAGCAGAACACAAAAACAUAUAUACAAAGAAGGGUUGUUGAGAAGACAAACAUGAAGAAUAAUCGAUAAUUUCUCUGCAUCAGAAAAUUUUUCUUUAGACACAUUAUCCACAAAUUAACAAGGAAAGAUAUUGGGUGACAAACAAAUUUACUGCAACCAUUGUCAACACCAACACUUAUUUAUUAACCCCAUACCAGAAACAUGUUUCUGAUAAUAUGUGAACAAAGUCUCUAUAAUAUAUUAAUAUUUGAUCCAGUUUUUAAACAUCUAUUGGUCACACGUUGUGGAUAAUAUUUGAGACCAAAUCAAUCAAGCUUGUGUCCAUGCAAUUAUCAUCUUCUGUUUGGAACAGAAAAGAGUGAAAUUCAUCAAGAAUGAUGAAAAAGAAGAGAAGAAAAGACACAACCCAAAUUGAUACCUCACACUCAGAGGAUAAUAUUAUUUAGUACUAGUCACUAAACAUUGAGCUUGGCAAUAGUAAACAACUCUAAACAAGGGAUCACUUACCAGCCCAAUACAUUGUCCAACCCAAGGAGAGUGAUGGUCAAAUCGUUCUACGCAGUUAUUGCAUAUUGAACAGUGUGAACAACGAGGAGGUCUGUAAAGCAUGUAAGUGUCACAAUACUUGAUCUUCACAAUUGCUCCAUUGACCUCUACCUCCUUAAUGCAUGGCAAAUGUAACUGUGGAGUUUGUCCAGCACCAACAUCUGCAGUUCCAUCAAAGCCUUCUGGUUCUAGAGGAUGUGCAUUGGUCAGGGUCAUAGAGUUUCAGGGACCAAAACUGUAAUUUUCAAUAUUGGAAUUCUCAUGAAAUAAUAUUGGGAUAAAUUAGUAGAAAUUAGUAGUAAGAAAAGAGCCGUGUCAGUUUCUUGUAAUUCCCUUUAGAUUAUUUAUUUAGGAGGGUGUGUCAUCUGAGACAUAUUGAUGUCUCCUCCUGUCACAAGUCAAGUUGUUCCUAAGGCUCUUUAGGGGGGAGUGACUAGUUGGCCACCAGCAAGGGCUGGGCCCGACUGGCCACCGUAGGCUUGUUGAGUCCCUAGACUGUGCCUUCUCUUCUUGCAGGCGUUCCCCCUGUCUGCAAGUUGGGAAAGGAUCGUUGCCAUGAUUGUGUAAUGACUAUUUUGCCCCUGGAAUAAAAUAAGUAGCCCAUUCAAUAAAUCUUUAUGCCUGAUUGCUUGUUGAUGUGCUUGUAUGGCUAUAAUUCUCUGAUCUUGAUAUUUUCACAUGAUAACUGUGGCCUUCCCCAUUUUGUGGGAAUAGGGCAGGAGGUCCUAACCUUUACGUUCCUUUGUCCAGGUGAACGCGUAGAGAAUUUGGUGGACUUGGCUUGAAAAGAGUUCAAACCAAGUGCCACACGGUUCCAGGCCAGUAUUAAAAUCUGAAACCGUGACAUUUGGUAUCAGAGCCUGAACGAUCGGGAGUAGUGUGGUAGUAUGACGAAAUCUAGCCCACGUAUCGAUGCCCUUGAGAGAAGGGUUGAGAACAUUGUUGCCCUAUUGAGGGACUAUGCCACCCAAGAGGGGAUGGUAUUGGAGUUUGAUACUGCUUAUAAGCGCAUUGAGGCGCUAGACAAAGAAAAUGAACGGCGAUUGGCUAAGAGGGCCAAAUCGCUCAGAGGUGAGGGUGAGCCAAUAGAGCUUGAGGCCACCCAAGAUCCUUCUCAAGCGAAGGACACCCGGUGGGGUGAUCUGGAGUCUAAGAUGGUAGAAUGGGAGGCCGUGGCCUCCCAAGUGUGGGGCAUAAUGGAAAGUCUCAAAUCUGUUUCUGAUGCUCAUACCUCUUUGGUAGGAGCUGUUGAAGAGAUUAGAGAUGGUGCUAAAGAGACCAUCGGUGCGGUCAGUGAUAAUGUCAAAGAGAUGAUGGACACAUUCCAAGAUAAACUGGAAGAGCUUGAUGCGAGGGUGAACACAAUUAUGAAGGUUACAGGGAGCAAUGGCAUGAAAGCUUGUGGGGCAGAGGGGACGAAGGUCCCGGAGCCGAAAGCUUUCGGCGGAGCAAGGGAUGCAAAAGAAGUAGACAAUUUUCUUUUUGACAUGGAGUUGUUCUUCAGAGUUCCCAAGCGAGAGUCCGAGGAGGACAAGCUGUUGAUCAUACCCUUAUACUUGGUUGACGAUGCUAAGUUGUGGUGGCAUAAUAAAAUAGUGAGAGCGGGGCCGGGAGGAAACCAAGUCACAUCAUGGGACAUGUUCACCAAGGAGUUGAGAGCUCAAUUUUAUCCUGAGAAUGUGGCAUAUGACGCACGGUGCAAGUUGGGAGAGCUACAGCAAACAGGUUCGGUUCGGGAGUACGUGAGGGAUUUCUCACGCCUCAUGCUAAACAUAGAGAACAUGCAGGAGGAGGAUCGGUUUUACAACUUUAUGAAAGGGUUGAAACCUUGGGCUAAGAAUGAAUUAAUGAGACGAAAAGUGACAGAUGUCGAUACAGCCAUAGCUGCGGCUGAGGGCCUAGAGGAUUAUUCCAACUCGGCUGGUAAGCGAAAGAGCAAUCCUACGGUGGGGCAAGACCCUCGCCCUAACAAGUGGGCGAAGGCCCAAAAUGGGGGAGCAAACCGAUGGAAUCACACUACUGGAGGGGUAGAAAGAAGAAAUUGGAAUAGUAGUUUGAUCUCAAAACCUUAUUUUUAAGGAAGGGAAUUGAGGAAACAGUUGGAUGAGUUACUGGAAGCUGGGUUUAUACGACCAGCAAAAGCGCCCUUUGGGGCUCCUGUGCUUUUUCAAAAGAAACAAGAUGGAAGCCUAAGGUUGUGCGUGGAUUAUCGGGCUUUGAAUAAGGUGACAGUACGUAAUAAGUAUCCUAUCCCUUUGAUAGCAGAUUUGUUUGACCAAUUGGGCCAGGCAAAGUUCUUUACCAAGUUGGAUCUUCGAUCAGGUUAUCAUCAGGUUCGAAUUAAAGAGGGGGACGAGCCCAAAACAACAUGUGUGACACGGUAUAGUGCUUUUGAGUUUCUAAUUAUGCCUUUUGGACUAACAAAUGCUCCUGCUACUUUUUGCACUUUGAUGAACCAGGUUUUUCACGAAUAUCUUGACAAAUUUGUGGUGGUUUAUCUUGAUGAUAUUGUGGUAUAUAGCUCUUCGCUGAAAGAAUAUAGGGAGCAUCUUAGUUUGGUAUUCGAGAAAUUGAGGGAGAAUAAGCUCUUCGUCAAGAAAGAGAAAUGUGCGUUUGCUCAAACUAGAAUCAAGUUCUUGGGUCAUGUGGUCGAGCAGGGAAAAAUAAGCAUGGAUCAGGGUAAGGUAAAAGCCAUUCGGGAUUGGAAGGUACCUAGGGGUGUAACAGAGUUGAGAUCCUUCUUGGGAUUGGCAAACUAUUAUAGGCUAUUUGUGAGGGCAUAUUCCUAAAAGGUGUGUCCCCUCACGGAGCUCCUGAAGAAAGGAAACAAGUGGCAGUGGACGGACGAGUGCCAAACAGCUUUCGAUGAUGUGAAAAACACGAUGAUGGCUGAACCAGUAUUAGCUCUCCCUGACAUGAGUAAACAUUUUGAGGUGCAGACAGAUGCUUCCAACCUGGCGCUAGGGGGAGUACUCAUGCAAAGCGGACAUCCGGUAGCAUUUGAGAGUCGAAAGUUGAAGGAGGCAGAAGUUCGAUACACAGCCCAAGAAAAAGAGUUGUUAGUAGUGAUUCAUUGUCUAAGAACGUGGAGACAUUACUUAUUAGGGUCGAAGUUUGUAGUCAAGACAGACAACACGGGGGUCAGCCAUUUCUUUUCUCAACCGAGAUUAACACCUAAGCAAGCAAGGUGGCACGAAUGUUUAUCUGAGUUUGAUUUCCAGUUUGUGUACAACCCAGGAAGUUCUAAUAGGGUGGCCGAUGCUUUAAGCAGAAAACUUGAUAUAGCAACUCUGAAGCAGAUAGCUCAAUUGUCCUAGAGCGUAGCAAAGACAACGUUGAAAGAAAGGAUUCGGGAAGAGUUACAGAAGGAUCCCCAAGCCAUGGCCUUGAAGAAACUAGUGGACGACGGCAAAACUAGGCAAUUUUGGUUAGAAGCGGACUUGAUCAUGACAAGAGGGAACAGAGUCUAUGUUCCUAGAGCAGGGGGACUUAGAAGUUUGUUAUUAAGGGAAUGCCAUGACACUAGGUGGGAGGGCCAUUCAGGGUGGUAGCGUACUUUAGCGCUUCUGAAGCAGGGGUACUUCUGGCCGAGAAUGGCGAAUGACGUCCAAGAGUAUACAAAGACUUGUUUGGUUUGUCAACAGGAUAAGGCGGACAGACAGAAACCAGCAGGGUUGUUACAGCCAUUACCAGUGUCGAGUAGGCCAUGGGAAAGUGUUUCCAUUGAUUUUAUUGCUGGACUUCCACGAGUAGGAGAAUUUGAUCACAUUCUGGUGGUUGUCGAUAGGUUUUCCAAAUAUGCCACGUUCGUGCCGGUGUCAAAAUAUUGCUCGGCAGAGGAGAUUGCUAAAGUAUUUUUCAAGCAUGUUGUAAAAUACUGGGGAAUCCCAAAGAGCAUAAUUAGUGACCGCGAUGCAAGAUUUACAGGGUCAUUUUGGUUGGAGUUGUUCAAGCUGUUGGGUACCAACCUGGCGAUGUCCUCAAGUUACCACCCUCAGACGGACGGACAAACAGAGAGAGUUAAUGGAAUGUUGGAGGAGUACCUGCGGCACUUUGUUAGUGUCAGCCAGAAGAAUUGGGUUUCCCUUCUUGAUGUUGCUCAAUUUUGUUUUAAUUCUUUACAGAGCUCUACUACUAACAAAAGUCCUUUUGAGAUUGUGACAGGUCAACAACCGUUGGCACCUUAUAAUGUAGAUAGGCCUUAUUCAGGCCGCAAUCCGAAAGCAUUCCAAUUCGGUAAAGAGUGGAGACAAAAUGUGGAGCUUGCCCGCGCUCAGUUGGAGAAAGCUAGGAGUCAUAUGAAGAAAUGGGCAGAUGAGAACCGGCGCCCGCAGGAGUUCACAGUUGGUGACUUGGUGAUGGUGAAGUUAUUGCCAGAGCAGUUGAGAUUCCUCCGCAACUGUGACAAGAAAUUAGUCCGGAAGUAUGAAGGACCAAUACCAGUAGUCGCCAAGAUUGGCCCAGCCGCUUACAGGAUCGAACCUCCAAAGUGGAUGACAGUCCACCCAGUAUUUCAUGUCAGCAAAUUGAAGCCAUAUUAUGCUGAUGAGUCAAAUGCAAACCGCAACACGACACCACGACCAGCAGUAACCCGCGCACCACCUGUCAAUCAAGGAGUUGAAGAAAUCUUAGCGGAACGAGUCGUCAAGUCCACCAAGCAUCCACCACACAAAGAGUACCUUGUCAAAUGGAUCGGCCUUGGUGUUGAGGAAACCAGUUGGGAGAAGGAGUCAAGUCUGCAGGCAUAUGCACACAAGAUUGUGGAUUUUGUUAACGCCUAGUCGACGAGGACGUCGACCAUUUAAGUGGGGGAGUGUCAGGGUCAUAGAGUUUCAGGGACCAAAACUGUAAUUUUCCAAUAUUGGAAUUCUCAUGAAACAAUAUUGGGAUAAAUUAGUAGAAAUUAGUAGUAAGAAAAGAGCCGUGUCAGUUUCUUGUAAUUCCCUUUAGAUUAUUUAUUUAGGGGGUGUGUCAUCUGAGACAUAUUGAUGUCUCCUCCUGUCACAAGUCAAGUUGUUCCUAAGGCUCUUUAGGGGGAGUGACUAGUUGGCCACCAGCAAGGGCUGGACCCGACUGGCCACCGUAGGCUUGUUGAGUCCCUAGACUGUGCCUUCUCUCCUUGCAGGCGUUCCCCCCUGUCUGCAAGUUGGGAAAGAAUCGUUGCCAUGAUUGUGUAAUGACUAUUUUGCCCCUGGAAUAAAAUAAGUAGCCCAUUCAAUAAAUCUCUGUGCCUGAUUGCUUGUUGAUGUGCUUGUAUGGCUAUAAUUCUCUGAUCUUGAUAUUUUCACAUGAUAACUGUGGCCUUCCCCAUUUUUGUGGGAAUAGGGCAGGAGAUCCUAACCUUUAUGUUCCUUUGUCCAGGUGAACGCGUAGAGAAUUUGGCGGACUUGGCUUGAAAAGAGUUCAAACCAAGUGCCACACGGUUCCAGGCCAGUAUCAAAAUCUGAAACCGUGACACGUUGCGGGGAAUUAUGCCAGGAUCUCGUCCAAAGGUUAGGAGGAGAAGAACUAAAUCCUGAGACAUCAUACAUGUUAGAGUUCAAUUUAAUUGAAACUCAACACUAUCUUGCCUAUAAAAGACAUUGCAGAGUGCCUUGGGAACACUUUUGUUUCUUUUAACUUCUGGACAAGAUAACUAUUUUAAAGCAAUCAAUAUCAGAAAAUUAGGCCAAUAACUGCCUUCCAGCAGUGGCAAAAGCAGUUUUUGUGAUACCUUCUGCUGCAUUGCAACUUUGCCGAAAUCUGAACAAAAUACACACAAUCAUAGAGGUAGUCGGGUUUGGUUCAGAAUGUUUCAAGUGCUGCACUUUCACAUAUGUGCUUGAGUUGAAACUUGCUUGUAAAGGUGUGUAUUAUUCUGUUGUAUCCGAAAAUACAAACUGAAUUAACCAAAUUUCAUUAUUUAAGUAUAGGAUAGUUUGGUUUGAUUAAUAGAUCUUGAAUUUUUGGGUAUUGGUUAUUGAUCCAUUUACCUUUUGAAUUGUAACCGAAAUAACUGAAUUUUUUAUUUAUAAUCGUUUAUCGAUAAUCAUGAAUCUUUUUUUAAUUGAUGAUAUACAAUUAAUUUGGUAAUAUUAUGUAAUCAUACUUUUAUUAUCAAAUGACAUAAAUUUUAUUCCUCUUAUACAUGACACAGACAUCUAUUAUAAACAGAAAUACACAGUGCAUACGGGUGUGUGUAUUUAAAAGAAUGCAUAUAGUGCAAAUGCAUAACUAAUUAUUUUUCAUUAGCCUUAUUUCUUUUGGUGAGAAUAUAUGCAGCCAUAUCAUGCAUGCCAAUAACUGAAGAAAGUAAUAGUUGCAAAAUGCAUUACAAAUAUCCACAGCUCAAAAAGCACACCAAUCAGAAGAGCCUCUAACUGGGAAAAAAAGACUACCAUGGUUGACCAUAAAAUUGGUCCCAUGCUUAAAAUAUUUAAAGAGAGUGUUGCUAAGUUUUAGGCAAAUAAUGAUCUCAUCCCCUAAAAGGUUCACCCAUCUCAGAAGCACGCUUCAACACUUGGGCUAACUCCUGCAAACAAUACUCUUCCUCUAACACCACUCACAGAUCAUAACAAUUAGUUCAAUAACUUCCAUGUUCAUGUACACAGCUAGAUAUGGAAAUCUUUAGCCAAUCCCACUGCUGACCACCCAUUUAAAUUAUGCACUAAUUUCUGUAAGGGAAAUUUACAAAGGCUUUCCUCUUAAGGAGCACUGUACCCAACCCCUAAGAAUCUCUUUUCCUCUAUCUUUAUUGGGCUGAAUGUACUGAGCUGAAGAUGUGAUUGGUUCUCAGUGAACUUAAGCUGAUACACCAAUGUAACAACAGCCCUAUUCUGGAUCUAAUAAAAUUUCAUCCCAGUAUCAGGGAAGAUCUGGACAGCUGUCACAUGAACAGGCAAAUAAAAUCUCAUUGGAAAAUAGUGCAUGCUCUAGCAAUAGCCAGGCAAUCCUGCUGCUAUAUAGCAUGAGAAAAAGCAACUAUAAAGCGAAGUUUACAGAAAGUCAAAAGAUCUAAAGGGACCAUUCUACUUUGAGUUUUAUUAAAAAAUCCUUGCUGAUUUAGAGUUCACAUGAUCACAGACCUGCUCCUCAGAGCAACGUCUACUAAUUUUAUGUAUAAGAAAAAUCAUUAUGUGAUUUAAGGAUCUCAAAAAUUUUUUUUUUUAAAAAAAGAUGUAUUUAAACAAGAGAGAGAACUCACAUAUACAGUGAAUACAACAGCAACAGCCAUUAUUGAUAUUCCCAACUGAUCAGAAAAAUCAUCCAUCAGUUUUCUAGCGACAAAGAUGCAGAAAAUUUUUAAAAAUAAGAUUUCGUACAAGCUAUUAUUGGGAAUAACAUCUGUUCCAAUAGAUCAAGUUUUAAAAAAAUCAUAACGUUACACUAAAAAUAUCAAAAAUAUGAUGUCAGUGCCAAUACUUACAAAUAAUAACUAUCAGUUAUAUCUAAUAUUUAAACUAAGGUAGAUCCUUAAUUUAAGAUAUGGCUGAAAUUAGUGAUGGGUUUAUAGAGAAAAUAACUUUCCCAAAGUUUAGAUCUUUUAAGUAUGAAUAAUGUAAGCGCUUAGAUCUAUUUUGAUUGCCUUGCAUAUAUAAAAAUAAGUUAGGAUUUAUUAAUAAAGAGCAUAUUAUCUAAAGAAGAGCCACCUGAAUUUUAAAAAUGGAUUAAAGUUGAUAACAUAGUGAUAUCUUGAAAAUUGUCUCUACUCUUAUUUUAGUGUCCAAUAUAAGAGAAUUUAAGUUGAUUUGAUUAAAGGUUUAGUGAGUGCAGCAGGCUUAAUUCUAUCAAAUUAAGAGAAAAAUAAGUAAAGUCAAAUAUGAUAAACAAAAAGUAUUAAAAGAUUCAAUUGGUCAAUUUCUAUCUUUAUAGAAUUAGAUGAUUUUCACUUAAGAGUCCAAAAAGAUUUUCUUAAAAGUCCACAAAGAAGAAAAUGUCCUUUAUUAACUGAUUUCAGUUCUACCAAUUGUAUCAAACACAACAUGAACUGAAUACAUAAGCAACAUAUUAAUAAAAGUAUUAUAACUUUAUAUCAGUUGUAAUUGAUGAGAAGAAGCACAAGAGCUCUGAUGAAAUUAAGAGCUUCAACAUUGAGCUGCAUCUCCAGAAUUUUGCUCAUCUUCUAAUUUGUUGCAACCCUUCAAUGAAGUAUGGGACUCCAUGUAAGGGACAGCUUGCAAGUGAUUGCUUGUAUGUACUGCUCCUUCUACAGGAACAGGGCUAAUUGUUUCUUCAGGAGGGUUCCAUACGAGCAAGUGUUGACUCCACGAUGAGAAAAAUAGCUCGCCCUUCCUUGAAAAUCCUAAUGGCAGGGCCAUCUCCAAAUAUUCUGGGUGUGCUACAGUAAAUAAUUUAGUCCAAGACUCUUCAACUCCAUAUUCAAGCAAUACCCACAACUCCACAUGACGAUUAGUAGACAGAGACAAAACAACAUGCUCAUUCAAGCAAAGAAUUGUCCGCCAAAAAUAGCGAGAACUGAAAGCAUCUGGUAGAGCUGUUGUUUUAAUAACCUCAUUGCUCAAGUCGAAAGAAACAAUUAAGUCUCGACUAUGGUCUCUCUCUUUUGCGCACCAAUGAAAUGUACCAUUUGCACCCGUAUGAGCUCUAUGAUCAUAAUUAUACUCAGAGUCGCCAUUUUCGAACUUAUAACUAGGCAACUCCCAAGAAUUCAGAGAGACAUCAAGUUUUCUCCAAGUAUCAUCCCUCAGACUAUAGAUCUCCGCCAGGUAAUCACAUUGAUUAUCAUGAGUCAAAUACUCAAAAAUCCUGAGUACUUUGUAAUCACAUGUUGUGGAGUCAAAUCCAAAUUCUACAAUUUCCAGUGAAAAAGACUCAGAAGGAGGAUGUGAAAGAUUGGAUUGAGGUAGUAUCUUAGUUUCAGAAGUAGUUGGGUUCCAUAGAACAAUAUUACUCUCGUAGUUGUAAACAUCAUCCCAUAACCCAAGCAAAUACCCAAAGAAAUAUCCAUCACGGAGGCAAAUUACACCAUUACAGCAAGAACCCACGAUGUCAACGAAAGAGCAUUUUUCCAUUAUAUCAUGAGGAUAUGGAAUUUCUUGUGGGGGAGACAUGUCAAAUGUAUCAUUGCAAAGAAAAGAAAAAGCCAAAUAUUCAAACCUAUAAUCAUCAUAUUUGACAAGGAUUUGGGAAUUGGUUGUAGAAUCAGAACAAGAGAGUAGGUUUUUAUAUAUAAAAUUAGGAUCAGAAAAGAGAGCACACCAAGAUCUGCAAACGCACCUGAAUCUAACAACACUUCUAACGGGUAAUUUGAACAAGAUGUUGAACACCAAAUGCUUGGGAAAAUAAUCAACAGCCAUGGUAGAUAUUGGUUUUGUUGAUGAGAGUCCUAAGCAAAAUAGCUGAAAAAUUGAAGGACAGAGCACACAGAGGCUUGCACAUAAGAUCCCCAGUUUUGAGAGAGAGAGGAAGGAAUGGAGAGGAUGUUCGGAAAGGCGUAUGAAAUUGAAGAGGAGGGAGAUGAACUCUUAGCCACCACCACCGUGUUUGAUUCAAUUUCAAUUCCUAAAAUUUUGUGUAAUUUAAGUAGAAUUCAAUUCUACUUGUAUGGGAUUGGUUACAACUAACACUAAUUCCUUUAAAUUUUGAUGAAAUUUAAAAUGAAUUCAACAUGUUUUAUAAAUUAAAAUGCCCCUAAUCAAGUUUUUCCCCAAUUAUUUUUUAUUUUAUUAGUUAAUUAAAUAAAUAAUUGAAAAUUAAUAAAUUAUUAAAAAUAUCAAUAAUUACAAAAUAAAUAAUUAUACUUUUUUAAUUUAUAUUUUUAAUUGUAUUUUUAUUAUAUUAUAUUAGUAAACUUGUAGAUAAAAAUUGAAUAAUUUUUUAUUUUAUUUUAUAAUUAAUAUGAUAUUAAGUAAUAAAAUUUAUUUUAAUGUUUGAUGAGCUAUGGACUGUUAAAGAGUUUGAAUGGUGACAUAUAAAUUAAAUUGAAUUUAGUUAUAAAAUUAAUUAAAUUAUGUAUUAUGAUGAAUGAAAAUGAUUUUAAUUUAAAUAAAUUAUUGAACGGCUCUAACUUGGGAUUCGAAGAAAUUAAAGCCAUUGUCUUAUCAAAUUAGUAGAAAAUUAUAGUGAGACGGGAGCACAUCUGAUUGGUAUUAUGGCCAUUAGACUGACGCAAGAAAUAUAACUUCUUUGGUUAUACCCAUCCAUAUUCUAAUUGUCUAUGUGAUAGUACAAAAUAUGGUAUUUAUCAUUUUGGACAAGAUAAAAAUAUACUUGAUACAAUACAAGAUAGGUCUUGAAAGACGUUAAAAGUUUAUAUUAUAUUAAUAAUUUUAUAUAAGUUAUUGUAGAUAGAAUUUUUAAAAAAUUAUAACAUUACAAUAACACUGACAAAAGUAUAGUAUGUACGAUAAUCGAUUAUUAUAUGAUAUUUUUAACAUUUUAAAUAUAUUCAUAGAUUUUAUUUUUUAUGUAUGUUUGAAAAUAGUAAAAUUACUUUUAUGUGGUGCAUAUAUCAUGAUAUUUUUAUUCAUAUUUUUAAAAUUGAGUAUUAAUAUGUUUGAUUUUGAGAGUUGGUCAUAAAUUAUUUAAGUCAUUAAAGUGAAUCAACUAUCACAAACAAAACAAAAUAAAACAAAUGAAAAUAAAUUUUUAAUUUUGAGAAUCGAAAAAUACUAAAAUAUUAGUAUACAUAUAAAAUUUUAUUUGUGGUUGAUUUGAAGAAAAAUUAAAAUUCAAUAUUAAUUGGAUUCAAUAGAAUUGGUGGUUGAUUUGAAGAAAAAUUAAAAUUCAAUAUUAAUUGGAUUCAAUAAAAUUGGUUAUAAUUAAGAUUAAUUCCUUUAAAUUUUGAUGAAAUUUGAAAUGAAUUCCAUACUAUUUACAUAAUAAUGUUUUAUUAAUUAAUUAAAGUAAUAAUUAAAAAUUAAAAAAUUAUUAAAAAAAUUUAAUAAUUACAAAAUUAAUAAUAAAAAAUUAUUUUAAUAAAUAAUUAUAUUUUUAAUUUUUUAUAUUAUUUAUAAAUAUUAAAUAAAAAUAAUAGAUACUACUACUCUGAAAUAAAAAUAAUAGAUAUUACUAGACAAUCGAUUAUUUACAUUAAACCUUCACUUUCUUGAAUUAGUUAAAUGAAAUGGAAACUCUUUUAUUAUACACAAAUUGAAAACUCUUUUAAUAUAUACAAAUAUAACCCUCAUGUUAUUUAUUUUCAAUAUAUAUUAUUUAGUUUAUAUAAUUUUUAAAUUUAUAUAAUUUAAUUUUUUUAAUUAGAAUUAAAAUAAAUUGAGUAACAUUUAUUUGAUAUAAUAAUUAAAUAAUUUAAUUUUAUAAAAUAUAUGAUCAUUUUAAUUAUUUAAUUUAAAAAUAAAAUAAAAAUUAAUAAAAUUUAACAGCUUGAUAAUAAUUUUCUUUAUUAUUAAUUUGGACUAUUUAUUGCUAACUAAUCAACUCACUUAACUUAAUUUCAUUUUUUUUAAUAAUAAUAAUAAUAAUAAUCAUUAUUACAUUAAUUAUAUUAAUCAUAGAAUUCAACUAAAUACUAUGUAAAUAAGAAUAUGUAGAUCCUACGUAAGCAAGAAUAGCGGACCCACACACCAUAUAAGAAACUUACCAUAUUUAUCAAGAUUGCCUGGUGGCAAGAAACGUGUGGGUUUUCAGCAAAUUUCAGUUGCUUCCAAGAGUUGGUGUUCCAUACAAAGUAAAUCGGAUCACAGUCAAUCAGGUGGAGGUUAGCAUUGACCAGGUUAUAGAUAACAAUCGCUGGUCGAUAGCUUGGGAUAGGGUGUUCACAAAAUCCAACCAAUCAAAUAAAUUUAAAUUAAUAAAUUUCAUUAAAUAAUUAUUUUGAAUUGAUUUUUAGAUGUUUUAUAAAAAUUUAUAAAAAUUUUUUAUUAGUUAAUUAAUAAAUAAUUAUUUUAUAUUUAAUUAUAUAUUUUAAUUUUAACUUUACAUUUUCUUGUUUAAUUUGUAUGUUUGGUUUAAAUAUAAUACUAAUUAGUUUCUUUUUAUUUUUAUUAUUAUUAAGAAUAUAAUAUCUCAAAUAUAUUAUUUUUAUUUUUUAAUUUCUAAAAAAAUAAAAUUAGCCAUAUUUUAUAAAUACAUUAUUUUAUUUUUUUACAAUUAUUUCAGAUGUAAUAAUUUUUUAACUGUUAUAAAAUUAAAAUUAAUCAAAUUUCUAAAAAGUUAAAUUUAGUGAUAAAAUUAAAAAUAUAAGACCAUUAUUUUAUAUAUAAUAAUAUUAAAUAUAAUUUUUUUUAAUUCGAACAGACGCAGUUAUAACGGCAGAAAUACAAACUGCAUCAUAAUAAAUCAGAUUAUGGGACAUAGAACAUUUCCUUCUAAACUUACUUAUCCCCAAAGAAGUAUAACUUCCUUUAAUACUAUUGCCCUAAAAUUAUAAAAGGUAUACAAUAAAAAAAUUAUAACGCUAAAACAACAAUACUAAGAAUAUGAUACAUAUAUAAUAAUCAAUUACUACAUGAUGCUUUUAACAUUUCAAGUGUAUUCACAUGCUUUACCCUUUCAACGAUGUGGGAUUCAACACACCCCCUCACGCCCAGAAUUUUACUGGUGCGUGACACAUUUAUGGGAGGCCCAACAUCGGAUGGGGAGGCUCUGAUACCAUGUUAAAUUUGGGCCAGGCCUAACUCACCCCAAAAGCUAGCUUAAGGGGGAGGAUUGCCUAUGACUCAUAUAAGGGGCACAUUACCCCUUUCCACAACCGAUGUGGGAUUCAACAGUAAUGUUGAAAGGAUGAAAAAUAGCAAAUAAUAGAACGAGAAACACUAUGUUCACAGUUUAAAUAAAAUACUUGGAUUUUUACUGUGUAGUUUGGUGUAAGAAACUACAUACAAGUAAUCCUAUAUAUAUAGAAAAGGAGAGAGGAGGAAGGGAAGUAUAAUGUCCAUUUACACAUAUUAUCCUAUAUAUGUAGGGGAGGAGAGAGGAGGAAGGAAAGCAUAAUGUGCAUUUACACAUGUUUCAAGAAUAAAUUAAUAAAAUAUUAUUUUUUAGAAGUUUUUAAGAUAAUUUAGACGGCAAGAGGUAUAAAAACAUAUAUUACUUAUGUUUAGAGGAGAUUCGGUAAUAACAAAAAAGAUCAUGCAUGUUUGGUUUCUAGACUUCAGAGGCAUCAUGUUUGUGCGAAUAUAAAUUUCACGCGUUUUGUAUGUAAUAACUACCCAUCACAUCACAUGCAUUACUAAUCGGUCCUUAUUUUUAGCUUAAGCACGCUUUUGAAGUUGCGAUUUAGACUUCUUAUAUCAAUGUUAAUUAGUAUUUUAUUUUUCUUUUAUUUUUUAAGAAAUUAGAGAGAAAGAAUUUUAUUUUUUAUUUUUUAAUUUUACAUACGAAUAAAUCGUAAAUUAAUAAAAUAUUAUUAUUUUUAUAGAAAUUUUUAAGAUUAAUCGGGUGGUAAGGGAGGUAUAAAAAGCAUAUAUUACUUAUUUUUAGAGGAGGUUUGGCAAUAAUAAGAAAGAUUGUGCAUGCUUAGUUCCUGAAGUACGGAGACAUUAUAUUUGUGUGAAUUUGAAUUUCACGUGUUUUGACUGUAAUAACAAUCUAUAACUAUAUACAUUUUAAAUCGGUUGAACCCUCAAAAUUGAUUCCCAAUUAAUUUAUAUAAACAGUAUCACGUGUUUUGUCCGUGAUAACAAUCCAUCACCAUGCAUUACACUAUUUUUAGUGUAUUCCCAAUAUAAGUUAAUUAAACACUAUUUUAAUUAGAGAUAUGUAAACAAAAUGUUAAAAGAAUUAAUAAAAGAAUUGUUAAUUAAAAAUAAAUAAAUAAAUAAUAUAUCAGUGAGCCUGAGUGAUAUUUUCAAAAAUUUUUAAAAAAUAACAAGUUAAUGAAAUGUUUUUCUUAUUUCUCAUUGUAUUUUAAUAACAUAAUAUCAAUUAUUUUACCAAAAUAAUUAAUCUUAUAUUAAGCAAAUAAUGGCAGUCGUGCCAACAACUCUUCAUGAUUUUCACACACUAUCUGGCUUCUAAGGGAGGGCAGCUUUAGUUUCAAAUAUGUACUUUAGGAAUCAAGGACGGAGCCAGCGUGGACAAGGGCCUCUAGGUGCCUGAAAAUUUUUAAAUUAUGUAGAGUUAUUUAACUAAUUUUAUUUAUAAUAUAAAAAUUAUCAUGAAAUUUUUUGUAUAUUUAAAAAAUUUAUUAAUUAAUUUUUAUUUUAAAAUUACUUAAUUAAAAUAUUUUAUAUUUUAUAAAAUUAAAUUAUUUAAUCUUUUUAUCAACUAAUAUUAUUUAGUUCAUUUAAUUUUAGUUAUUCAUUUUAUUUUGUUUCUCUCAUUCUCUAUUUUUUCAAUUUAAAAAAUUAACUUUUCAUCUUUUAAAAUUUCAAUUAUAAUAUAUAAAUUUUUUAAAAAUUAUUUAACAUUGUGUAAUUUAAUUUUAUAUACUAUUUUUAUUAUUAAAAAAUAAUUAUUUCACUUAAUUAAUUUCUAAUUUAUUUAUAUAAUUGAAAUUAUUUGUUAAAUUAUUUAAAUUUAGAGAAAUAAAUUUUAAAUUUUUAUAAAUAAAAGUAUUUUAUGAAUAAUAUUUUAUUAAUUAAUAAUUUUUUGGACUAUUUAAAUUUUAAAAAUAUAAAUAUAAUGAAAAAUAGGUUAGAUAAUUUAAAUUUAAAAAUACUUAAAUAUAAAUUAAGUAUUAUUUUCAUAGAUAAUAGAUUAAAUUAUUUAAAUUUAGGAGAAAGGAAAUGAGAAUAUUGUCGCAUUAGUUAAUGGGUUAGAUAAUUUAAUUUAAAAAAAAUAAAUUUUAUAAUAAUGACAUUUUAAUCAGAGAAGAACAAGAAAACCACUUUACCUUGUGAUUCAGUUCCAUUACUUACCUUUAUUUUGUAUUCUUUACUAUUUUGCUCAGCCCUCUUGAAGAUUAUCUUUCUAUUUUCAGCAUUUUUAUCCUUUUUUACCUUUGGUUCUGAUUCUUCAACAAUGACCAUUCCUGGCUUCUCUUCCUUUUCUUUAGCACAGAUUUAGAGAUUAUAGCCGCUGCUUUGAUUUCUUCAACAAUUUCUAAUCAUAAAGAAACAUUCAAUGUAUCAUACAAGAACAUUAUGAAUUUAAACUUUAUUAAAGACUCAAAUAACCAUUUGCUCCUUUUCUAAAAAGAAGAGCAACUGUAAUCAUAGUUAAAACUGGACAAAACCAUAGAGAAAGCAACCUUAAUGAAGGUGUAAUAUUAUCCAUAUAGCAAACGUUCAACUAUACCGAUUUUACAAGAAAAUUCAAAUCAUAUAAACUAUCAAUUCGAGUUUUAUUCUUCCUAUCAUUUUAGGAACUGUUGGUGAUAUUUAAGAAUUAAUAAAAUCUUUUUCUCUUAUUCAAUAAAAAAUUCUUAGCAUGAUAAUUUUUUCUAUAUUAAUUCUUUAAGUCAGUAUAAUUAUUUUUUUUCUCUCUUUCUUCAAAAAAAUAGUUAAGUUUUUUGCCUUUAUAAAAAAAAAUGCACCAUAAAUCGAUAGCGAAAAUGCAAUAUUAUGUAGAUUUAAAAUAUUAAAUAUUUUUUAAUAUUUAAAAAUAUAAAAUUAUUUUUAUUAUUAAAAAUAAUAUUUAUUGGGUUGCUAUUUGUUUAUAAUAAUUAAAUGCAAAGUUUAAGAUUUUAUUUGAUAAAAUGGUAAAACUAAAUUUAUUUAAACAUUGGUGAAAACUUGAGUGAUUUAUUUAGUCUUUUAGUUCAUAAUUUAAUUUAUAGAUGUUAAAAAAAUAUAUAUAUUUCUGUUAGAUGUGGAAAAUUUACUAAAUUUUUAUGUUUUGAUUUAAUUUAAUGAUUAAAAUAUUUAUAAUUCUUAUAGAUUAAUUGACAAAUUUUGAGGAUAUAUAUAAUAUUAAUUAAUUAGUAUUUUUGCGUUAAUUUACUAAAUUUUAUUUUUUCACUUAAAACUUUUUAAAUUUCUAUUUAAUUCUCAUAAAAUAUUUUAAAUAGAAAAUUUAUGUAAAAUAAAUAAAAAAUUUAUAAUAUAUUUUCUCUCGUAUCUAUGGGUUUGAGAUAAUAAAGAUUUUUCAAACUCUAUAUUUUCUCUCAACCAAUGAAUCUUCAUAUUUCAAGUUAACAAUAAUUAAUGAAAAAAAAUCCAGAUUACGCACCUAUAGAAAAUAGAACAAUAAAUAAAAUAAAAUCUAGAUUGAAUAUCAAAUUCUGCGAAUAAUCAAUGAGAUGGAGAAUAGGAUUUAAAAGGCUUGAUAACUUUGCAAACAGGACUUGCAAUACUCGCAUGGACUUGAGUCACACCACAAAGUGAUUUCGAGUUGACCACAGAAGCCAUCGAAUUGAUGCGUCUGCGACUCGAUGAUAAAGGCUUAAUGGCGUUGUGACUUGACGAUAGGGGCUCAAUGGCACUGCAACUCGACGACUUAGGCUCGAUGAAAUAGAGAAUAGGAUUUGCAAGUAAAUGUGGGUGUGGUCGCACAAAGGUGUUGUGGGCCGCGAGUGGGCUUAUUCUGAAACUUGGAAGAAGAAGAAGAAUAUAGUGAAUGUUUAGGGGUUUUUAGAUUUUAGGUUUGAGACUAGGCUGGGCUAGAGUUUUAAUUUUAUAGUUUGGGUGAAUGAUGGAUAAAUUUAAGAGAUAGGUUUUUUUACUUUUUUGUUUUAUCAUAUUUUUAAUAUAAAUAAAUCGAAUUAAAUAAAAAAUUAAAACCAAAAUAUAUUAACCGAAUCAAAUUGAUUUGAAAUUCUCAAAAUUCAUUAACCGAAUCAUAUGAAUGAAUCGGUUCAGUUAUGUUUUUGGAUUAUAGUCGAAAAGUGCACACCUCUGGAAAUGGAAGAGCGAGAUAGCUACCAAAAGAGCUGUUCAAACAAAUUAUGGCAUGGUCCAAUUUAGCUCUACAUGACCCAUUCAUUAAUAAUACAGCAAUCCACAAGCUACUUAUUAGGGAGUCAGUAAGGAUGACAGUUGAACUUGGUGUCCCCACAUUGGAGAGGGGCAUAAAACAACAGUAAGUGGUUACACAAGUGAAGUGAAAUCAAAUUAUAUGCCAUCUAAUUCCACAAAUACAAACUAAAACUUGAAAAAGAAGCGAUCUCACUCGUACAACAAUACAUCAUUCCGCUACAUGAACAAUAGCCAAACCAAUGCUUCCAAACACCCAGCUAAAAAGGUUCCCCAAUAUUGCAAAUCUUAAUUUGGAGCUUGGACUCAAGUGGUCCCAACUUGUACUCAACUGAUCUAUUGAAACUUGGUUCUAUGAAACUCGUUUCUCAGUUGUCAAGCUACUACUGCUACUCCCACCCACAUGGUUUGUUUCCCUUACUCUGGCUGCCAAAGCAAGAACUUCAGGUGACAUGUCCCAGCUUCCACUUUUUCUUCCCCAGCUAGAUCUUCUUGGAUGUAUUCCACCAUGGUCCCCUUCCUGCACUGCAGUCCUCACUUCCGGGGAUAAUUCACUUAAAUUACCAUCCUUUAUGUUCAAGUGAUCAUUGUUUGUG